AGAACCUAUUCCAGAGACCCACUGUAAGACACGGUGUGCCGUGUAAGAAAAGUGGAGGGGAAGCAAAGACAGGAACAACGGAGGGUUCUUUCAAGAAGCCAAGAAACAUGGUGGUAGCUGGAAGAAGCAGGAGAAAAGGUGCAGACACUUUGACUGGGAUCUCAAGGAAUGAAACCCUAAUUGACUGACCAGAGUGGAACCAGGAUCAGCUCUAGACAAGCAUGCUCAUGGCAGUAUUGAUGAAAGACGGGGAAAUGACCAAACUGUUUAGCAAAGAAGAGUACGUAAAUUGAUACUGUCCUACAGUGGAUUAAAAAUCAGUGAAAAUGAACAAGAGCUACACAUGUCAACAUUCAUAAACCUCAAACAAGUUUGAGCAACAACACAAAAGCAAGUCCUAAAAGAAUAUGUGCAAUCUGAUGCCAUAUAUCACAUACCAUUUCAAAAAUAUGAAAAACUGAGCAAUAUAUAAAGAUGAGGUACAUGUGUGCUAAUUCAAUAAAGUAACGCAAAGAUUAGUAAA